AUUUUACUCUUGUAGGGCACAAGUAGCACAAGUGUGGGGUAGUGUGAUUUAGGCUCUUGUAGUGCAGUUGGAGACAAGGGAAAGAGAAUUCUUGGCUUCACAUCCUUGAUGACUACACCCAGUAUACCUGAAGAUGAAGAAGAAGAAGAGAUGCCUCGAGUAGAUGUUGUGUAUGAAAAUAUUGAAAACAUACCUCCUCUAUCGAACACAUACAUCAAGAGUCCUGCAAAGCUGAAGAGAAAACAUGGAGAUGAGAGCUGAGUAGUACAAUGAAGAGGAUCAAUUUUGAUGAUCCAUCAACAGCUUAGGAUGUUAUAGAUAGUUUUGGGAUGCUUACAUGUCUAGUUGGCAUGUAUAUUUUGUAUAUGGACAUACAUUCACGUAUUUAGACAUACAUUUUGUUUGAGUUGGCGUUUAUGCCAUAUU